GACGAAGGGGGCUAGCGUUGUUCGGAAUUACUGGGCGUAAAGCGCGUGUAGGCGGUUGCCCAAGUCGGGUGUGAAAGCCUUGAGCUCAACUCAAGAAAUGCACUCGGUACUGGGUGACUAGAGGGCCGGAGAGGAUAGUGGAAUUCCCAGUGUAGUGGUGAAAUACGUAGAGAUUGGGAAGAACACCAGUGGCGAAGGCGGCUAUCUGGACGGUUUCUGACGCUAAGACGCGAAAGCGUGGGGAGCAAACAGG
rnacentral:rRNA from 1 species